GUGUCAGCCGCCGCGGUAAUACAGAGGUCUCAAGCGUUGUUCGGAUUCAUUGGGCGUAAAGGGUGCGUAGGUGGCGAUGUAAGUCGGAUGUGAAAUCUCCAAGCUUAACUUGGAAACUGCAUUCGAUACUGCGUUGCUAGAGGACUGUAGAGGGCAUUGGAAUUCACGGUGUAGCAGUGAAAUGCGUAGAUAUCGUGAGGAAGACCAGUGGCGAAGGCGAAUGCCUGGGCAGUUCCUGACACUGAGGCACGAAGGCCAGGGGAGCAAACGGGAUUAGAUACCCGCGUAGUCC
rnacentral:rRNA from 1 species